GAACUCCUUGUACACAAUUUAUUGUCAUAGGUGAGGUUGCUUUCAAUACAUUCUCAACUACAAUAAAUCUAAAUUACAAUGGGUGUGAAGAUAUACAUAUGGGCAGAGGGAGGAGGAAGUGUAGGUCAUGGAUCGAUGACCCUAGGCGAUGGAACCCAUAUCAGCUGGUGGCCCAAAGAAGACAAAAAGAAAUCUCCCUUCCAAAGAUGGAAAUCAGUAGAAGCAGAACCUGCAACUUCGUAUGAACAAGAUGUUGAAUGGGAAAAUAGAAAACCAGCUGAUUUCAUAUACGAAAUUCCCUCCGGGAAACUUGACGAGGCAGCAAUUAGAUCUUGGUGGAAUGAGUUCAAAACGACCAAUACGUAUCACAUCGCUUUUAAGAAUUGUUGCAGUGCCGUUUACAGCGCAUUGAAGAAAGGUGGAGCUGAAAAAUUAGUGCCGUUCCCAGGGUCUCUUAUUUCAACACCAGCAAAUUUGAAAGAAUACGCAGAGAAACUACAGAAAGCUACAAUUUAACAAACAAAGGAUAAAGAACACAUCUGAUUUUUUUAUAACCGAAAGAAUAUAGUUUUAUCAUUAUAGUGUUUCUUGUAAUCUUGAACUCUUGACUCCGCUUAAAAGUAUUUCAGAAAUUGCUUUUGUAAAUUAAGAAAACUGACAUGAUUAGUUACUAUUCAAAAACAAUGUUUUUUUUUUUGGACUGAUUGUCCUUUUCUUUGUCUCAACUAUUGACCCUUAUCAUAUACCAAUUUCGAACUUCAGGGACAUUCCCAGGUUUAACCUCAAUUUUACGUCAGUUGUCCCUAUGUCACUUCCAAAUCAAAAUUUAUACUGCUAUGCUUUAAUAAAUCUAAUAAAUCUAUAAUGAAA